AAGUAAUGCCACCUGAUGUUCGUUAACCAUGUUAGCUAGCGUUAACUAGCAAGCUAACCCUGGCUUCUGUCAUCUGCAGGCUAGCAGGUUGCUAGCUGGAACAUAAAAUAGGAAACGCAGCAGCAGGCUGAAGUAGAGCAGGAUGAAACAGCUGCGUCUUCAGGGUUUCAGCAUGUGUAGAGCCCUGACCUCAACCCCACUGAACACCUUUGGGAUGAACUGGAACUGGAGCUUCCUGACAUCAACAUCAGCACCUGAUCUCAACCUCACUAACGCUGUUGUAGCUGAAUGAACACGAGUCCCCACGGCCACGCCCCAAAAUCUAGUGGAAAGCCUUCCCAGAAGAGUGGAGCACGUUAUAACAGCGAAGAGAGAAUACAUCUGGAACAUCUUUUCCAUACUGUGCAUUUAAGUACAGCUCAGCAUGCUUUCCAGCAGAUUUAAGUCUCUUCAUUUGAUCGUGAAUCCUCCUGAUCAGGUGUUUUGUAAUAACGAAGAUGGAAGGAAUCGAGGGGGAUGGAGGAAGUGAGAUGCCAAAAAGAUCAACGCUUCACAUUUACUUUUUACAUUUAUUCAUUUAGCAGACGCUUUUAUCCAAAGCGACUUACAAAUGAGAAAAUACAAGCAAAGCGAUUAUCAAGCAGAGAACAAUACAAGUAGUGUUACCAUACAAGAUCCAUUAAUUGAGUUUGAGAAGAAGCAAAGUGCGCAGAGUAGAGGUGUAAGUGCAGAUUUUUAAAAAUGUAUUUAUUCAUUUAUUUAUUUAUCAUGGGUUGGUUAGAUGUUCACGGAAGAGGUGGGUCUUUAGAUGUUUUUUGAAGAUGAUGAGAGAUUCUGUGGUCCGGAUUGAGGUUGGAAGUUCAUUCCACCACUGAGGAACAGUUAGUUUGAAGGUUCUUGAAAGGGACCUUGAGCCAUGCUGAGUAGGAACUACUAAGCGUCGCUCACUAAUCGAUCGCAGAUUGUGUGAGGGAACGUAAGCCUUCAGGAGAAAGUUGAGGUAGGAGGGUGCUGUUCCAGUCAAGGUUUUGUAGGUGAACAUCAAGGCCUUGAAUUUGAUACGGGCGGCUACAGGAAGCCAGUGGAGGGAGAUGAAGAGGGGUGUGACAUGGGUUCUCUUGGACUGGUUGAAGACGAGGUGUGCUGCUGCAUUCUGAAUCAUCUGAAGGGGUUUCACUCAUUUCAAUAAGAACUCAAAUUCAGCUUUAUUAGGCUCCGCUUUAAAUUUGAUUUACAGAUAUUUAUCUAAGUGCAUUAAUCUUUUUGUUGGAAAUGAGCACCGUUGGUUUUUUUUUUUAAAAGUAAAAUUUAAAAACCAAGAUAUUGUUUUAAAGUUAAAACAUCAGAAUUAAAGCAAAUAUGUUUCCCCACAAAACCACUGGCUGUGGUAAACAAAGGGAAAGUGUAAUGUAGAGAAACAUGUUCAGAAGCAUUUCUGCACAGGUUGGGAGAGGAAAUUGGAUGAUAAAACCCUAAACUCAAGGUGUGUUGGAAAUAUUGCUAAUUUUACCACGGUGAACUGUUUGGAAAGGAAACACUGGUGUGUGUUUUUUCCAAUGUCCAAAGUUUUUUGAGUUAGUUUCAGGUCUAUGGGAUUUAGGAUGUAGUUGGGAUGGAUUAUGAAAGGAAGACCUGGCAACCCUGAGCACGAGAAAUAAUCUCAUGAUCUCUGGUUAAACAAAGGUUCAACUUGACGCAUAACGCGGUGACACCAGUUAAAAACAUGACCCCUGCUGAACAUGUCGCUCACUUGCUGUCUGACCGCUUCGAACCGGGCCUGUCCACCCGGAUUACUGCCAAUCCACUUUUGUUUUGCCGCUUGGUCCACAUAGAUUUGAAGGUUAUUCAUAUCAUUUAGGAGAGUUUCCACCCUUGUUUCGUCCUCGUCUGUCACAUCGUUGGGUUUAUGUGGCCCAGCACGACUAACAAAGCGUCAUGCAGCGCUCUGCAAUAUUGACCAAACGGGAUUGCGUUCGCAUCCACGUAGUCUUCAUUAUUAUCAAAGAAAACCACCAUGUUUGUCUGAAUUUCUGUUGCUGUGCUUUGGGGAAGUGGGUGCCUGCCUAAUUCGUCCAUUGCCUGCUGAUCAUAUCCUUGUAGAGGAUUCAUACGAUGUUUAUGUAUAAAAUCAGUCAGCACUUUGUAAUGAAAUUUAAGGAUGCCGUUGUUGAAGACGUGUUCGCCUCUUUUCGACCUUUUCAGGUUUUCCCCCAGAUCCUGAUUGAACUUUGGAUUGAUGAUAUGACUGUUUGCUAACACUUUACACUUAAUAUCCUCCACUCUUUUCUUUCUCUCUCCCUGAUGAGCUUGAGAUGGUUUUGUUCCCUUUUUGGAACCUUUCCCCAUAUAUUCAAUAAUAUUUUCCAUUCUGACCUCUGUGGAGAAAAAAAAAAAUACCCAAAAUGUUUCCUUGUUAUGAUUUAGCUCUAAACUGAAUUGAUCUCAUUUAUAUUUAGAACAGUGAGAAGAGCAGAAAUAACACACACCUGUCACAUUUUUGAGUCCAGAAAAUUCAGUUGUUGCUACUGCAGCUGCUGCUGGUUUAUCAGGAAGAGUCGACUUCUAAAUAAUGUAAGAAAAAAAAAAUCAGUGUCACUAUGAACUGACAUGAUGGUGUACUGUGACAUGCAAUAAAUAUACCAUAUUUUACUGUGCAUCCGGAAAGUAUUCACAACGCUUCAUUUUGUUAUGUUACAGCCUUAUUCCAUAAUGGAUUAAAUUCAUUAUUUUCCUCAAAAUUCUACAAACA
ensembl:lncRNA